rnacentral:rRNA from 1 species
UACGGAGGAUGCAAGCGUUAUCCGGAAUUAUUGGGCGUAAAGCGUCCGCAGGUGGCACUUCAAGUCUGCUGUCAAAGACCGGGGCUUAACACUGGAAAGGCAGUGGAAACUGAAGCGCUAGAGUGUGGCAGGGGUAGAGGGAAUUCCCGGUGUAGCGGUGAAAUGCGUAGAGAUCGGGAAGAACAUCGGUGGCGAAAGCGCUCUACUGGGCCAUAACUGACACUCAGGGACGAAAGCUAGGGGAGCGAAUGGG